AAACUUUCAACAACGGAUCUCUUGGUUCUGGCAUCGAUGAAGAACGCAGCGAAAUGCGAUACGUAAUGUGAAUUGCAGAAUUCAGUGAAUCAUCGAAUCUUUGAACGCACAUUGCGCCCAUUAGCAUUCUAGUGGGCAUGCCUGUUCGAGCGUCAUUU
rnacentral:rRNA from 1 species